CCCCUUUCAGGACCGCAACUGGAGAGUUUCCAAUUCUCUACCAGUCUUGGCUACGGGAGGGAGAGUCAAGCAGGGGCCUGUCCAUUCCAUUCCUAGCUUGGCCAGUGGCUAGCAAAUGGAAGGAAAUCUACUACAAGU